rnacentral:rRNA from 1 species
AGAGUUUGAUCCUGGCUCAGGACGAACGCUGACGGUGUGCUUUAGGCAUGCAAGUCGAACGAGAAAGCCCUUCGGGGUGAGUAGAGUGGCGAACGGGUGAGUAACACGUGGGCAACCUGCCCCUCGCAGGGGGAUAACCGGAGGAAACUCCGGCUAAUACCCCGUAAGCUUUCAGGGUCGCAUGGCCCUGUAAGGAAAGGUAGCUUCGGCCAUCCGGCGAGGGAUGGGCCCGCGGUGCAUUAGCUAGUUGGUGGGGUAACGGCCCACCAAGGCGACGAUGCGUAGCUGGUCUGAGAGGAUGAUCAGCCACACUGGGACUGAGACACGGCCCAGACUCCUACGGGAGGCAGCAGCCAGGAAUCUUGGGCAAUGGGCGAAAGCCUGACCCAGCAACACCGUGUGGGCGAUGAAGGCCUUCGGGUCGUAAAGCCCUGUUGAUAGGGACGAAGGGCGAAGGGUUAAUAGCCCCUAGCCUGACAGUACCUUUCGAGGAAGCCCCGGCUAACUACGUGCCAGCAGCCGCGGUAAUACGUAGGGGGCGAGCGUUGUCCGGAAUUAUUGGGCGUAAAGAGCGUGUAGGCGGUUCGGUAAGUCUGCCGUGAAAACCUGAGGCUCAACCUCGGGCGUGCGGUGGAUACUGCCGGGCUAGAGGACGGUAGAGGCGAGUGGAAUUCCCGGUGUAGCGGUGAAAUGCGCAGAUAUCGGGAGGAACACCAGUAGCGAAGGCGGCUCGCUGGGCCGUUCCUGACGCUGAGACGCGAAAGCUAGGGGAGCGAACAGGAUUAGAUACCCUCGUAGUCC